GCGGUAUUUGUGCCAUUUCAAAAAGAUGAUGCAAGUCAAAUCAUACUUUUGGUAUUUAUCAAUGUAUCGUAUAUUGUGGAAAGAUCGAUCAAAGUUACAGAGAGCGGACAACUGCAAAUCGAGACACUGAAAUAGAGGAAUAAAGGCAAUCAUAGGGGAGAGGAAGCGUGUUUAAUCAGAUGAGGAUGAAUAAAUGUCAGUGACAACACCACCAAGGCAUUCGAAGGUGACAGUGGGUAUGGCAGGACUGUUCUGCAGGCAUCACAACAGUUACUAUAAGAUCCCCAAACAGUUGCACCAUCUCUACAGAGAGUGUCGUGAAAUUCCGUCGUUUCUCACAACAGAGGUGCGAGCGAAAAAUGCCGCCUGGAUGAAGACAGCAUCGGACAGAGAUGGUGGGUGGGAAAUGAGGCAGACGCAAAUAUCUGAGUGCAUCCUUGGAACACCGGGAUGAAAAAAACAAAACAAUAUUAUGUUAAAAACGCUUAAUGUUUAAUGCAGUAGCGUUACCUUAAGUAUUGUUCAAUGAAAUAACUUUUAUUUCAAGUCUUAUUUUGUUUGUUUGAUUAUUUAUACAGGAACAGCCUGUGUGUAUUAUGUCAUGUUUUUGUAUUUUAACUUGAACAUUUUGAUAAACUGUUCAGGGGUAUUAUCCACAUUCUGUGAUAAUUCAAUUGUUUAAAUAUUUAUAGCAAUGAUAAUUAUAAUAAAAAUUUAAAAGAUGAAAUAGCUUAUUUUAUUAUGUAGUAAUUUGUGAGUAUAUAAUAUGCAUGUAGG